GGCGACGACGGGUAGCCGGCCUGAGAGGGCGACCGGCCACACUGGGACUGAGACACGGCCCAGACUCCUACGGGAGGCAGCAGUGGGGAAUAUUGCACAAUGGGCGAAAGCCUGAUGCAGCGACGCCGCGUGAGGGAUGACGGCCUUCGGGUUGUAAACCUCUUUCAGCAGGGAAGAAGCGAGAGUGACGGUACCUGCAGAAGAAGCGCCGGCUAACUACGUGCCAGCAGCCGCGGCCA
rnacentral:rRNA from 1 species